GAUGAACGCUGGCGGCGUGCUUAACACAUGCAAGUCGAACGGUGAAGCCAAGCUUGCUUGGUGGACCAGUGGCGAACGGGUGAGUAACACGUGAGCAACCUGCCCUGGACUCUGGGAUAAGCGCUGGAAACGGCGUCUAAUACUGGAUAAGAGCUUCUACCGCAUGGUGGGGGUUGGAAAGAUUUUUUGGUCUGGGAUGGGCUCGCGGCCUAUCAGCUUGUUGGUGAGGUAAUGGCUCACCAAGGCGUCGACGGGUAGCCGGCCUGAGAGGGUGACCGGCCACACUGGGACUGAGACACGGCCCAGACUCCUACGGGAGGCAGCAGUGGGGAAUAUUGCACAAUGGGCGAAAGCCUGAUGCAGCAACGCCGCGUGAGGGAUGACGGCCUUCGGGUUGUAAACCUCUUUUAGCAGGGAAGAAGCGAAAGUGACGGUACCUGCAGAAAAAGCGCCGGCUAACUACGUGCCAGCAGCCGCCGUAA
rnacentral:rRNA from 1 species